CAGCCGCCGCGGGAACACGUAGGGGGCGAGCGUUGUCCGAAGUUACUGGGCGUAAAGAGCGCGUAGGCGGAUCUUUAAGUGAGGGGUGAAAGUCCGGGGCUCAACUCCGGAACUGCCUUUCAUACUGGAGACCUUGAGUGUGGGAGAGGCGAGUGGAAUGGUCGGUGUAGCGGUGAAAUGCGUAGAUAUCGAUCGGAACACCCAUGGCGAAGGCAGCUCGCUGGCCUAUAACUGACGCUGAGGCGCGAAAGCGUGGGGAGCAAACAGGAUUAGAGACCCGCGUAGUCCCUGUCUCUUAUAC
rnacentral:rRNA from 1 species